GGCGAACUUGAUAGCGGACUACUCUAGACGCCGCCAUACGGAUUUUGUUCAGAAUCACAAAGUAACGUUCGAUUCCUUGCUAUGCGGUCCCUCGUAGCCAGCAGAAGAAGAAGAAGCAGCAGCAGCAACGGAGAGAGGAUAAAGAUGUAAUUAUGCUAUUUCCUAAUGACACUCAUCUGCAGCUGCUACCGUCGUUGUUGGCGCUUCAUCUUUCAUUCUUCGUCGUUUUCGUCUCUGGUCUCUUCAAAAAACCUUCCGAAAGACCAAAGAGCCGCGACUUCGUCGCUUGAGAACAGGCUAACCGCUGUUGUAGGUCGCUGUGGUCCACGGGCUGCUGAAGGAAAUUGUCACAGAGCGCCAUAGAUGAUAGCAUAAUACGCUGCUCGCCCUGUGGUGCGCAAUCUACCAUGUACGAUGUUGCUAUUGGACUAGCAGUUCCACUUCGCAGAACGAAAGACAUCGUGUUUUUGUUUUGCAGUAUUGAACGGCACAGCCGAAGGACGCAGUCGGCCCUUUGUUAUCAGGUAUAGUCGCUCUGUUUAUCCGAUCCCUUUCCCACUUUAUCAGCUGUGGCGUUGAAAUGUUUAUUAAGUGUUAUCAUCAGCAGAAGCAGCAAGAACGACAACCAACCAGCUUCAGCAGCUCCAAAAGCAAUAUCAUCACGAACAACAUCGACAUCGCAAAUAGUUAGGAUCGGAGACGCGGAUGAACCUGCCACUACUGCCGAAGCGACUACGCUGAAAACGAGGCUUCGCCUGAUCGAGGCACGACGGCCAAGAUGAACCGUGUAUGUACGUAUGAGAUGUCUGCGCAUGCCGCCGUUCACGUGUAGGGUUAUCGUUGUCUUCCAUACGUAGAGAAUGCCUUCAGGUAUCUUAGAGCAGGAACAGGCUCUAGUUAGACAGCGAACCUGCAGGAACGACUGUAUCGUCAUCGAAUGCGCAAGAUAGUUGGGAGAGCAGCUUCCGUUGUUCUGUAUCACGGCGCCCAUGUGUAACGCCUAUCUGCAAACGAGAACGGCGCAAGGGACAUAUAUCUGCCUUCAGGCUCUCAGUGCGCGUAUGCCCGGUCGUCGCUAACUUAUCGGGCCCGAUGUAGUCUACGGUGGCGAAUAUACAUGACAAGGAACUAGUACUUCUCUGGCAUCCGUUCCGGAGAAAUACUACUUUUGGUGCUCGUCGUGGUGCAGUAUCAGUUUUCGUUGAUUAGUGAGUGCCAGUGGCGACUUUGGGGGAAGGCGAAGUGAAGGGAGGAGUUAACUUCAGAAAACGUGUAACUGCUGCCCGCCGCGGGUCGCCAAUUACUGUUAGAGUUGUUCUGCUUAUACUGAUGUCCUGCGCCGUCCGCCCGUUCAUGAGCUCCUCAAAUAUAAAACAGUGACAAUAACAGAGCGUAUGCAUGUCACAAUUUACAACGGUCAAUCGAUAUUUACGAAUAGGGUUACGUUGGUCUCAAUUUAAGUUGAUGAAGAUGCUAAUCAUAAUAGCAUGACGCUCCCUACUGAAGAGAAAUACCCCAGAUUGGGCUCAAUAGGCCCACGAAACGACAUUGCUACCGCGUGAUCUGGACGACUUUCGAGAAAAUCGGCCGGUCACACGAGCAAAACGGAAGCUUUUAACUUUAAUUUCUAAGCACGACUGACGUGCUGGAUCAUUUUCAUCAUUUUGUGGUCGAAGUCAGCAUCAUCAUCAUUCACAUCUCAACGACCAUUCGCACUUUGGCCCCAGCUUCAGAGAGGCCGUACCCUAACUGUUGCCUGUGACCGUUGCUGGGACGUUGCUGUGGGCCAUGUGACGCCGGUGAUCGUCGCCGCAGUAGCAGCGGCGGCGGCGGCGGCGGCGGUGGC